rnacentral:rRNA from 1 species
UUAAGCGACUAAGCGUACACGGUGGAUGCCCUGGCAGUCAGAGGCGAUGAAGGACGUGCUAAUCUGCGAAAAGCGUCGGUAAGGUGAUAUGAACCGUUAUAACCGGCGAUGUCCGAAUGGGGAAACCCAGUGCAAUUCGUUGCACUAUCGUUAACUGAAUACAUAGGUUAACGAGGCGAACCGGGGGAACUGAAACAUCUAAGUACCCCGAGGAAAAGAAAUCAACCGAGAUUCCCCCAGUAGCGGCGAGCGAACGGGGAGCAGCCCAGAGUCUGAAUCAGCUUGUGUGUUAGUGGAACGGUCUGGAAAGUCCGACGGUACAGGGUGAUAGUCCCGUACACCAAAAUGCACAGGCUGUGAACUCGAAGAGUAGGGCGGGACACGUGGUAUCCUGUCUGAAUAUGGGGGGACCAUCCUCCAAGGCUAAAUACUCCUGACUGACCGAUAGUGAACCAGUACCGUGAGGGAAAGGCGAAAAGAACCCCGGCGAGGGGAGUGAAAAAGAACCUGAAACCGUGUACGUACAAGCAGUGGGAGCACCUUCGGGUGUGACUGCGUACCUUUUGUAUAAUGGGUCAGCGACUUAUAUUCUGUAGCAAGGUUAACCGUAUAGGGGAGCCGCAGGGAAACCGAGUCUUAACUGGGCGUUAAGUUGCAGGGUAUAGACCCGAAACCCGGUGAUCUAGCCAUGGGCAGGUUGAAGGUUGGGUAACACUAACUGGAGGACCGAACCGACUAAUGUUGAAAAAUUAGCGGAUGACUUGUGGCUGGGGGUGAAAGGCCAAUCAAACCGGGAGAUAGCUGGUUCUCCCCGAAAGCUAUUUAGGUAGCGCCUCGUGAACUCAUCUUCGGGGGUAGAGCACUGUUUCGGCUAGGGGGUCAUCCCGACUUACCAACCCGAUGCAAACUACGAAUACCGAAGAAUGUUAUCACGGGAGACACACGGCGGGUGCUAACGUCCGUCGUGAAGAGGGAAACAACCCAGACCGCCAGCUAAGGUCCCAAAGUCAUGGUUAAGUGGGAAACGAUGUGGGAAGGCACAGACAGCCAGGAUGUUGGCUUAGAAGCAGCCAUCAUUUAAAGAAAGCGUAAUAGCUCACUGGUCGAGUCGGCCUGCGCGGAAGAUGUAACGGGGCUAAACCAUGCACCGAAGCUGCGGCAGCGACACUAUGUGUUGUUGGGUAGGGGAGCGUUCUGUAAGCCUGCGAAGGUGUGCUGUGAGGCAUGCUGGAGGUAUCAGAAGUGCGAAUGCUGACAUAAGUAACGAUAAAGCGGGUGAAAAGCCCGCUCGCCGGAAGACCAAGGGUUCCUGUCCAACGUUAAUCGGGGCAGGGUGAGUCGACCCCUAAGGCGAGGCCGAAAGGCGUAGUCGAUGGGAAACAGGUUAAUAUUCCUGUACUUGGUGUUACUGCGAAGGGGGGACGGAGAAGGCUAUGUUAGCCGGGCGACGGUUGUCCCGGUUUAAGCAUGUAGGCUGGUUGUCCAGGCAAAUCCGGAUAAUCAAGGCUGAGGUGUGAUGACGAGGCACUACGGUGCUGAAGUAACAAAUGCCCUGCUUCCAGGAAAAGCCUCUAAGCAUCAGGUAACAUCAAAUCGUACCCCAAACCGACACAGGUGGUCAGGUAGAGAAUACCAAGGCGCUUGAGAGAACUCGGGUGAAGGAACUAGGCAAAAUGGUGCCGUAACUUCGGGAGAAGGCACGCUGGUGUGUAGGUGAAGCCCCUGCGGGUGGAGCUGAGACCAGUCGAAGAUACCAGCUGGCUGCAACUGUUUAUUAAAAACACAGCACUGUGCAAACACGAAAGUGGACGUAUACGGUGUGACGCCUGCCCGGUGCCGGAAGGUUAAUUGAUGGGGUUAUCCGUAAGGAGAAGCUCUUGAUCGAAGCCCCGGUAAACGGCGGCCGUAACUAUAACGGUCCUAAGGUAGCGAAAUUCCUUGUCGGGUAAGUUCCGACCUGCACGAAUGGCGUAAUGAUGGCCAGGCUGUCUCCACCCGAGACUCAGUGAAAUUGAACUCGCUGUGAAGAUGCAGUGUACCCGCGGCAAGACGGAAAGACCCCGUGAACCUUUACUAUAGCUUGACACUGAACAUUGAGCCUUGAUGUGUAGGAUAGGUGGGAGGCUUUGAAGCGUGGACGCCAGUCUGCGUGGAGCCAACCUUGAAAUACCACCCUUUAAUGUUUGAUGUUCUAACGUUGGCCCCUUACCGGGGUUGCGGACAGUGUCUGGUGGGUAGUUUGACUGGGGCGGUCUCCUCCCAAAGCGUAACGGAGGAGCACGAAGGUUAGCUAAUCCUGGUCGGACAUCAGGAGGUUAGUGCAAUGGCAUAAGCUAGCUUGACUGCGAGCGUGACGGCGCGAGCAGGUGCGAAAGCAGGUCAUAGUGAUCCGGUGGUUCUGAAUGGAAGGGCCAUCGCUCAACGGAUAAAAGGUACUCCGGGGAUAACAGGCUGAUACCGCCCAAGAGUUCAUAUCGACGGCGGUGUUUGGCACCUCGAUGUCGGCUCAUCACAUCCUGGGGCUGAAGUAGGUCCCAAGGGUAUGGCUGUUCGCCAUUUAAAGUGGUACGCGAGCUGGGUUUAGAACGUCGUGAGACAGUUCGGUCCCUAUCUGCCGUGGGCGCUGGAGAAUUGAGGGGGGCUGCUCCUAGUACGAGAGGACCGGAGUGGACGCAUCACUGGUGUUCGGGUUGUCAUGCCAAUGGCACUGCCCGGUAGCUAAAUGCGGAAGAGAUAAGUGCUGAAAGCAUCUAAGCACGAAACUUGCCCCGAGAUGAGUUCUCCCUGAGACUAUAAGUCUCCUGAAGGAACGUUAAAGACGAUGACGUUGAUAGGCCGGGUGUGUAAGCGCAGCGAUGCGUUGAGCUAACCGGUACUAAUGAACCGUGAGGCUUAACCUU